rnacentral:rRNA from 1 species
AUCGAACGCUGGCGGCAGGCCUAACACAUGCAAGUAGAACGAGUGGCGGACGGGUGAGGAAGGUUUGGGAAACUGCCCGCUGGAGGGGGAUAACUACUGGAAACGGUAGAUAAUACCGCAUACUACAGGAUGUGCCCAGAUGGGAUUAGCUGCUUGGUGGGGUAACGGCUCACCUGGACGCCGAUCCCUAGCUGGUCUGAGAGGAUGACCAGCCACACUGGAACUGAGACACGGUCCAGACUCCUACGGGAGGCAGCAGUGGGGAAUAUUGCACAAUGGGCGAAAGCCUGAUGCAGCCAUGCCGCGUGUAUGAAGAAGGCCUUCGGGUUGUAAAGUACUUUCAGCGAGGAGGCGUUACUCGCAGAAGAAGCACCGGCUAACUCCGUGCCAGCAGCCGCGGUAAUUC